rnacentral:rRNA from 1 species
UACAGAGGGUGCAAGCGUUAAUCGGAAUUACUGGGCGUAAAGCGUGCGUAGACGGUUGCGUAAGUCAGAUGUGAAAGCCCCGGGCUCAACCUGGGAAUUGCAUUUGAGACUGCGUAGCUAGGGUGCGGAAGAGGGAAGCGGAAUUUCCGGUGUAGCGGUGAAAUGCGCAGAUAUCAGGAGGAACACCGGUGGCGAAGGCGGGUCUCUGGGCCGAUACUGACGCUGAGGAGCGAAAGCGUGGGGAGCGAACAGG